CUGGUUGAUCCUACCAGUAGUCAUAUGCUAGUCUCAGAGAUUAAGCCAUGCAUGUCUAAGUACAUACCUUAAAACAUGAAACCGCGAAUGGCUCAUUAAAUCAGCUAUGGUUCCUUAGAUCAUAUAUACUACAUAGAUAACUGUAGUAAUUCUAGAGCUGUUACAUGCAAUUAUGCCCUGACCCGCAAGGGAACAGGUGCAUUUAUUAGAACAGAACCAACCAGGGGCAGUUUCGGCUGUCUCAGUCGGCCUUGUGUCGGUUACGGAUCUUUCAAAUGUCUGUCCUAUCAAUUUGUUGGUAGGUGAUCUGCCUACCAUUACAAUAACGGGUAACGGCGAAUCAGGGUCAGACUCCGGAGAGAAGACGGCAGCAGGCGCGAAAAAUACCCACUGCCAGCACGGGGAGGUAGUGAAGAAAAAAUAUUGUAAAGUGUAGUCG
rnacentral:ncRNA from 1 species